AACGGAGGGGGCGAGUGUUACUCUAAUUGUACUGGGCGUAAAGGGUUCGUAGGCGGCCUUGCUAGAGAAGAUUGAAAUUCUUUUUUCAAAAUUCACAAAGUUUAAUUGGUUUUAAGAAAUCUUGAUACAACUUAGGUAUCCUUGUUAGCAAACCUUACAUCACUGCAGUUAAAAAUUUUGCUGAGUUUCAUGGAAGAUAGCGUACUCAUAAUUUAGAGGUGAAUUCUGAGAGAUUAUUGGGGACA
rnacentral:rRNA from 1 species